CCUACGGGUGGCAGCAGUCGAGAAUCAUUCACAAUGGGGGAAACCCUGAUGGUGCGACGCCGCGUGGGGGAAUGAAGGUCUUCGGAUUGUAAACCCCUGUCAUGUGGGAGCAAAUUAAAAAGAUAGUACCACAAGAGGAAGAGCCGGCUAACUCUGUGCCAGCAGCCGCGGUACUACAGAGGUCUCAAGCGUUGUUCGGAAUCACUGGGCGUAAAGCGUGCGUAGGCUGUUGCGUAAGUCGUGUGUGAAAGGCGCGGGCUCAACCCGCGGACGGCACAUGAUACUGCGAGACUAGAGUAAUGGAGGAGGAUCCGGAAUUCGCGGUGUAGCAGUGAAAUGCGUAGAUAUCGAGAAGAACACUCGUGGCGAAGGCAGGUUCCUGGACAUUAACUGACGCUGAGGCACGAAGGCCAGGGGAGCGAAAGGGAUUAGAUACCCGGGUAGUC
rnacentral:rRNA from 1 species